CUCCGAGCCAGGUGUGGGAUAUAAUCUCGUGGUGCGCCAUUUUUCAAGCCCGUCAGAAAAGCGCAGUAUUCGGGUGGGAGUGACCCGAUUUUCCAGGAGUCCUAACCUAAAAUAAAAUAGAACAUACUGUGCUUAAAGCAAGGGGGGAAUCAUGUAACAAUAAAACCAGUGAAGAAAAUUCUAAUGCUCAGGUAAGAAGGACAGGAGUGCUACGUACAGACAAAAAGGUUGAAAUGCAAAAAAAUAAAAAGUGGAAAACAGCUGGUCCUCAGGAUCCUCCAGCCUUUGCCAAGGAAAAGUGGUUUUAAUCACUGAAGAAUGAGGCUUCAACAUAUGGAAAGACUGUAAGGUGUUCCUGGACAGCAAGUGAGUGACUUGCUCACAGGCGGUAAUUCAGGGACCCAGGUUUCUUCUACCUGGUAGCUCUACUGUCCUUCAGAACCUCAGAGCCCUGUGCAUUCAGCCAGCAGGAGAAAGACCACUACUAAGGUCAUUCACUUUGGGAGAAGCCAGUCUUCAUGCCAUGAGGACGUUCAGGCAGCCCUGUGGAGAGAACCACAUGGAAAGGAUCUGAGGUCUCUCACCAGCACCAAUUUGCCAGCUAUGGGAAUGGGCCACCUUGGAAGGAGACUGUCCAGCCCAAGUGAAGGCUGCAGAUAACUGCAGCUUUGGCCAACAUUUGGCUAUAUUGCUUUGGGAAAUCUCAAGCCAGAACCAUCUGGCCAAGCUGCUCUUAAAUUCCUGAUCCACAGAAGUUUUGGAAGGCCCUCUUGUGUGAUCCAGAGAGGUUGCAACAUUUUUUG
rnacentral:lncRNA from 10 species